rnacentral:rRNA from 1 species
GACGAACGCUGGCGGCGUGCCUAAUACAUGCAAGUCGAACGCAGUGGGGACGGGUGAGUAACACGUGGGUAACCUCCCAUCAGAGGGGAUAACACUUGGACACAGGUGCUAAACCGAUACUGAUGGAUGAACCCGCGGUGCAUGAGCUAGUUGGUGAGGUAACGGAUCACCCAGGCCACGAUGCAUAGCCGACCUGAGAGGGUGAUCGGCCACACUGGGACUUGGAGACGGCCCAGACUCCUACGCGAGGCAUCGGUAGGAGAUCUUCGGAGAUGGCCGAAAGCCUGACAGUGGCACGCCGCGUUAGUGACGAAGGUUUUCGGAUCGUAAAGCUCUGUUGUUAGGAUAGCGUUAUCUAACCAGAAAGCAACGGCUAACUACGUGCCAGCAGCCGCGGUAAUAG